UCCCCCCUGCCAGGUUUGUGAUCGGUCAGUGUAUUUAGAACCAAUACUCUGAAAGAGGGAGCCUUCACUGGCAUGCGGCCGGCAUGUCCCCUUGCGGGAAAACCGAAAGCUGCCACAGGGCGCCCACCUGUUUAAGGCAGGUUCAAAAUAACUUUCGACACGGCUGGUGCGGGGGGGAC
rnacentral:other from 1 species